AAGGUGGGAGGAGGGUGGGGAUGAUGUCAAAUCAUCAUGGCCUAUAUGCCCUGGGCUACACCCCUGCUACAGUGGCUGGUACAAAGGGCAGCCACAGGGUGACCGGGAGCUAAUGUCUAAAUCCAGUCUCAGUUGGGAUUGGAGUUUGCAGUACGAAUUUAAGAAGUUGGAAUGGUUAGGAAUGGCGCAUCAGCAACGGAGGGGUGAAUAUGUUGUGGGCCCUGGCCCCCGCCGCCCGUCAAUCCAUGGGAGUGGGACGUACCUAAAGUCAGUAACGC
rnacentral:rRNA from 1 species